rnacentral:rRNA from 1 species
UACGGGGGGGGCAAGCUUUGUUCGGAAUUACUGGGCGUAAAGGGCUCGUAGGCGGCCAACUAAGUCAGACGUGAAAUCCCUCGGCUUAACCGGGGAACUGCGUCUGAUACUGGAUGGCUAGAGGUUGGGAGAGGGAUGCGGAAUUCCAGGUGUAGCGGUGAAAUGCGUAGAUAUCUGGAGGAACACCGGUGGCGAAGGCGGCAUCCUGGACCAAUUCUGACGCUGAGGAGCGAAAGCCAGGGGAGCAAACGGG